CUACUGGGGUAUCUAAUCCUGUUCGCUACCUACGCUUUCGUCCAUCAGCGUCAAUACAUUAUUAGUGAUCUGCCUUCGCAAUAGGUGUUCUGUGUAAUAUCUAUGCAUUUCACCGCUACACUACACAUUCCAACCACUUCAUAAUCAUUCAAGAACAACAGUAUCAAUGGCAAUUCUACAGUUGAGCUGCAGACUUUCACCACUGACUUAUUAUCCCGCCUACGGACCCUUUAAACCCAAUGAUUCCGGAUAACGCUUGGAUCCUCCGUAUUACCGCGGCGGCUGGCCC
rnacentral:rRNA from 1 species